rnacentral:scRNA from 1 species
CAUGACGGUGAUAUUGGUAUCGAAGAUUAUUAC